GAUCCUGGCUCAGGAUGAACGCUAGCUACAGGCUUAACACAUGCAAGUCGAGGGGCAGCGGGAUUGAAGCUUGCUUCAAUUGCCGGCGACCGGCGCACGGGUGAGUAACGCGUAUCCAACCUUCCGUACACUCAGGGAUAGCCUUUCGAAAGAAAGAUUAAUACCUGAUGGUAUGAUGAGAUUGCAUGAUAGCAUCAUUAAAGAUUUAUCGGUGUACGAUGGGGAGUGCG
rnacentral:rRNA from 1 species